rnacentral:rRNA from 1 species
GAUGAACGCUGGCGGCGUGCCUAAUACAUGCAAGUCGAGCGAACGGACGAGAAGCUUGCUUCUCUGAUGUUAGCGGCGGACGGGUGAGUAACACGUGGAUAACCUACCUAUAAGACUGGGAUAACUUCGGGAAACCGGAGCUAAUACCGGAUGAUAUUUUGAACCGCAUGGUUCAAAAGUGAAAGACGGUCUUGCUGUCACUUAUAGAUGGAUCCGCGCUGCAUUAGCUAGUUGGUAAGGUAACGGCUUACCAAGGCAACGAUGCAUAGCCGACCUGAGAGGGUGAUCGGCCACACUGGAACUGACACACGGUCCAGACUCCUACGAGAGGCAGCCGUAGGGAAUCUUCCGCAAUGGGCGAAAGCCUGACGGAGCAACGCCGCGUGAGUGAUGAAGGUCUUCGGAUCGUAAAACUCUGUUAUUAGGGAAGAACAUAUGUGUAAGUAACUGUGCACAUCUUGACGUUACCUAAUCAGAAAGCCACGGCUAACUACGUG